CAGUACAAAAACACAAUCAAACAUACAAGAAUAUUUCUGUGCUAAUUGCAUUUUUUUUUUCAAAUAACUGAUUCAUCAUUGAAAUUACA